CCCGGCGUGGUGUAGUUGGUAGCGCGGCUGCCUAGCAACUCCUGGUGACUUAUUAUUAGGGGGUUGUCAGGUGGCAGGCCUGGGUUCGAUUCCCAGCGCUGGGG